UAGGGAAUCUUCGGCAAUGGGGGGAACCCUGACCGAGCAACGCCGCGUGUGUGAAGAAGGUUUUCGGAUCGUAAAGCUCUGUUGUUAAGGAAGAACGAGUGUGAGAAUGGAAAGUUCAUGCUGUGACGGUACUUAACCAGAAAGGGACGGCUAACUACGUGCCAGCAGCCGCGGUAAUACGUAGGUCCCGAGCGUUGUCCGGAUUUAUUGGGCGUAAAGCGAGCGCAGGCGGUUAGAAAAGUCUGAAGUGAAAGGCAGUGGCUCAACCAUUGUAGGCUUUGGAAACUGUUUAACUUGAGUGCAGAAGGGGAGAGUGGAAUUCCAUGUGUAGGUGAAAUGCGUAGAUAUAUGGAGGAACACCGGUGGCGAAAGCGGCUCUCUGGUCUGUAACUGACGCUGAGGCUCGAAAGCGUGGGGAGCGAACAGG
rnacentral:rRNA from 1 species